CAACGUGAUCAGCCGUCCUGAAGAAGUCACUAAAUGCGCGCUGCUGCAGCUCUAUGUUGGUCUGCAUCGACGCUUCGGGGACAUGUUGUUCUCGAGUGACCUCCCAGAAGGCAUCAAGGAAGAGGGAGAGCUUGACCCAAAACUCCUGUUUCAGCUUGUACUACAGUCGCACGGCCUGCUAAUCAUCGUCUUUGUGCUGUUGCUGGCCGAGGCCGUGCCGCUCGUCGGAUUGGCUGUUCUGUGGAAGUGCUGCAUGGAGAGGCCAGACG